UAAACAGGAAAUGUACGAAGCCAGGGGGCUGUCUUCGGGAGCAGAGCGUGGAGGAACGGUGCUGGUCCGCUUGCUGCCUUCGCCCAGCCCGCCGGCUCACAGUUCAGAGCCCAGUAAAGGAACAAGCAAACCUUUGAGUUCAACCCCUAGCGCUGCACAGGAAUAAACUGAGGCUUGAGCUCCAUUUCCGUAAGAGCUUUGCCAUACUCAGAUUGGCCAUGUGGCAACAUUUUACAUCAGGAGGGAAAUCUGUAGAAAAUACUGCACCAGGUUUAUGGCAUUCGGAGAGUUCACAUAAGGUUCCUCAGCAGACAGAUAAGAUGAUCCUGGUACUCCUGUCUCUUUAAGGGCUUGCCACAUUUUGUUGCGAUCCACAAGUCAUCCACAUAGCUGCCCUGCUGGAGGAUAGAGAGACCAAAGCGAAAACCAGUAUCUGCCCUUAAGGAGCUUAUAUUCUACUGGAAAGUGGUGGAAUACAACAUCUGUACAGAUGAAUAAGAGCAAGAUAAUAUGAGAAGAGAGAGAGUGCUGACAACUUAAGAGUAUCAUGGAAAACUUCCAGUAGGAAAUUUUACUUGAAAUUGAAGGAAGUUAACUAUUCCAAGAGUCAAAGCAAAGACUUGGAAACUCAUCAAUUGAGGGAUGGCUGAACAAGAUAUGAUUUAUGGAUGUAAUAGAAUAAUGCUGUGCAGUAAGAACUGGUGAAGAGGAUGGUUUCAGAGAAUCCUGAGAAGACUUGCAUGAACUGAUGCAAAGUGAAGAGAACAGAACCAGAAGAUAAUUUAUACAGUAGCAACAUUAUUGUAAAGACAAAUAACUUUGAUGAACUUUAGAAUUCUAAUGAAUACAAUGACCAACCAUGAUUCCAGAGAACUCAUAAUGAAAUCUGCUACUCACCUCCUGGACUCAAAGUAAAGACAGGACCUUUUUUUUUUUUAACAUGGCCAAAGGAGAAAUGUUUUGUUUGACUGUACACGUUUGUAACAGGGGUUUGGUUUUGUUUUGUUUUUUCUCAAUGGGAAGGCGGUGAGGGAGAGAAAGUGGAUUUUUGUUCAAUGAAAAAAAUUAAUUUAUUAUUUUUUUUUAAAUCUUGAGUUCUUCAAGCAUCUCUCCUAGAAAGAAAAGAAUUUCUACUUGAGUUCCUGAACCCAGGCUCUUGAAGAGUGAAUCUAAAAAUUCAUGCCUGAUCAGAGGUUGAUCCUAUUUCUUGGAUACUGGAUCCAGAAGUUCCCAGUGUUGUAUCCCUGCCUACAGUAACAGCCAGUCUUGGGGCCAUGCAGUUAGUUACCUACAAGAGAGCUGUUCAGUUAAGCAGACUUCUCACAAAGCUGAUUCCUGUACUGAUCUCUCUCUCUCUCUCUCUCUCUCUCUCUCUU